rnacentral:rRNA from 1 species
GAUGAACGCUGGCGGCGUGCCUAAUACAUGCAAGUCGAGCGAAUGGAUUAAGAGCUUGCUCUUAUGAAGUUAGCGGCGGACGGGUGAGUAACACGUGGGUAACCUGCCCAUAAGACUGGGAUAACUCCGGGAAACCGGGGCUAAUACCGGAUAACAUUUUGAACCGCAUGGUUCGAAAUUGAAAGGCGGCUUCGGCUGUCACUUAUGGAUGGACCCGCGUCGCAUUAGCUAGUUGGUGAGGUAACGGCUCACCAAGGCAACGAGGCGUAGCCGACCUGAGAGGGUGGUCGGCCACACUGGGACUGAGACACGGCCCAGACUCCUCCGGGAGGCAGCAGUAGGGAAUCUUCCGCAAUGGACGAAAGUCUGACGGAGCAACGCCGCGUGAGUGAUGAAGGCUUUCGGGUCGUAAAACUCUGUUGUUAGGGAAGAACAAGUGCUAGUUGAAUAAGCUGGCACCUUGACGGUACCUAACCAGAAAGCCACGGCUAACUACGUGCCAGCCGCCGCGGUAA